rnacentral:rRNA from 1 species
UUAAGCAUAUAACUAAGCGGAGGAAAAGAAACUAACCAGGAUUCCCCCAGUAACGGCGAGUGAAGCGGGAAGAGCUCAAGCUUGAAAUCCGGCGCCCCCGGGGGGUGCCGGAGUUGUAACCUACAGGUGCGUGUUCGCCCGCUGGUGGGGCUGCGGCUAAGUCCGAUUUGAAAAGGGCACCAAGGAGGGUGGCAGUCCCGUUCGUGCCGUGGUCCUGCCUGCGAUGUGGCCUCGCUUCCCAGGAGUCGAGUUGCUUGGGAUUGCAGCUCAAAGGGGGUGGUAAACUCCAUCCAAAGCUAAACACGUGUGGGAGACCGAUAGCGAACAAGUACCGUGAGGGAAAGAUGCAAAGAACUUUGAAAAGAGAGUCAAAGAGUGCCUGAAAUUGCUGAGAGGGAAGCGAAGGAAAGUAGUGUCGAUCGAGGGGAUCUUGCACACGGGGAACGGUCCCCUGGGGCCCUCCCCGUUAUCCCCCGCGCUGUCAGGGGCGGGUGUGGUUUAAGUCGGCGACUGCGGCAUCAUUAGUACAGGUGUUCCGAGGUAACAGCCGGACAAAU